rnacentral:rRNA from 1 species
UACAGAGGUCUCAAGCGUUGUUCGGAUUCAUUGGGCGUAAAGGGUGUGUAGGUGGCGCCGUAAGUCGGGUGUGAAAUUUCGGAGCUUAACUCCGAAACUGCAUUCGAUACUGCGGUGCUUGAGGACUGGAGAGGAGACUGGAAUUCAUGGUGUAGCAGUGAAAUGCGUAGAGAUCAUGAGGAAGACCAAUUGCGAAGGCGGGUCUCUGGACAGUACCUGACACUGAGACACGAAGGCCAGGGGAGCAAACGGG